ACCCCUACGGGAGGCAGCAGUAAGGAAUAUUGGACAAUGGGCGCAAGCCUGAUCCAGCCAUCCCGCGUGCAGGAUGACGGCCCUACGGGUUGUAAACUGCUUUUAUACAGGAAGAAACGCCUUCAUUUAUGAGGGCCUGACGGUACUGUAAGAAUAAGCACCGGCUAACUCCGUGCCAGCAGCCGCGGUAA
rnacentral:rRNA from 1 species